CCUACGGGAGGCAGCAGUGGGGAAUUUUGGACAAUGGGCGCAAGCCUGAUCCAGCAAUGCCGCGUGCAGGAUGAAGGCCUUCGGGUUGUAAACUGCUUUUGUACGGAACGAAACGGUCUGCCCUAAUACGGUGGGCUAAUGACGGUACCGUAAGAAUAAGCACCGGCUAACUACGUGCCAGCAGCCGCGGUAAUACGUAGGGUGCGAGCGUUAAUCGGAAUUACUGGGCGUAAAGCGUGCGCAGGCGGUUAUGUAAGACAGAUGUGAAAUCCCCGGGCUCAACCUGGGACCUGCAUUUGUGACUGCAUAGCUAGAGUACGGUAGAGGGGGAUGGAAUUCCGCGUGUAGCAGUGAAAUGCGUAGAUAUGCGGAGGAACACCGAUGGCGAAGGCAAUCCCCUGGACCUGUACUGACGCUCAUGCACGAAAGCGUGGGGAGCAAACAGGAUUAGAUACCCUGGUAGUCCACGCCCUAAACGAUGUCAACUGGUUGUUGGGUCUUCACUGACUCAGUAACGAAGCUAACGCGUGAAGUUGACCGCCUGGGGAGUCGGCCGCAAGGUUGAAACGUUAAAUGAAAUUGACGGCGNGAGAGUGACGACGGACGACGACGAGGGGAGGAGG
rnacentral:rRNA from 1 species